AACGAACGCUGGCGGCAUGCCUAACACAUGCAAGUCGAACGAGACCUUCGGGUCUAGUGGCGCACGGGGGCGUAACGCGUGGGAACCUUCCCUUAGGUUCGGAAUAACUCCCCGAAAGGGGUGCUAAUACCGGAUAAUGUCUUCGGACCAAAGAUUUAUCGCCUUUGGAUGGGCCCGCGUUGGAUUAGCUAGUUGGUAGGGUAAAAGCCUACCAAGGCGACGAUCCAUAGCUGGUCUGAGAGGAUGAUCAGCCACACUGGGACUGAGACACGGCCCAGACUCCUACGGGAGGCAGCAGUGGGGAAUAUUGGACAAUGGGCGAAAGCCUGAUCCAGCAAUGCCGCGUGAGUGAUGAAGGCCUUAGGGUUGUAAAGCUCUUUUACCCGGGAUGAUAAUGACAGUACCGGGAGAAUAAGCUCCGGCUAACUCCGUG
rnacentral:rRNA from 1 species